UUCAACAUUUGUUUGUGAAUAGUUUUGUUAAAUAUUAGAUUAGGUAUUAGCAAUGGCAAGUUGUGCUGUAAAUUGUUGUAAAAACAAUCGAAAAUUUCCUAAGAUGGAUAAAGAAAUUACAUUCCAUAGGUGAACUACGAAAAGUGUGGUUAACACUACUUGGAAAAACAGAUGAAAAUUGGAAAUGCAAUCUAGAUAAUGUGUUUGACAUGAAAACCUGGUUUAGUCAUCCUUCUGCAACUAAUAAAGUAUAUUGUGUAUUAGAUGCAUGUCAUAUGCUGAAAUUGAUCAGAAAUAAUUGGUCAAACUUAGACACGAUUAAAAAUCCUGAUGGAGAUCUUGUAAGGUGGGUGUAUGUCAAGGAAUUGUAUAAAUUACAAGAAGCAGAGGGAUUACAUGUUGCGAACAGGGCCGGAUUAACUGUGUAUGCGCCCCUAGGCAAAACCCUACUGGCGCCCCCCUCCCCCUCUUUUCCUAGUAAGAAUACAAAAAAGUUAAUUAAUUAUAAUGUGUUGUUUAUUAAAAGAACAAUACACUAAACUAAAAUUCAAACUUAAAUAUUUUUGUGUAAUUUUUUUACAGUAGGAUUCUUUUAUAGCUACCCUACAAUGCAGCCUAAUGGAUGAUAUUAUAAUGCAUUGUGAACAAUAAUUAGGAACCAAGCUAGAAAUUUAAAUUAAAUAUUUUUGCGUGAUUUUUUACAACAGAAUUCUUUUAUAACAUCACUUUUUACAUACCCUCAGCACAGCAGCAAGAGCAACAUCACCGACACCGUCGACAUCAGCGUCCGUGGACUUAGAGGGAAAAUAGGUGUUUAAUUUGCGAACAUGUUUUAGCUCUUCAUCCAAUCUAUCUUUCUUCACCUUAUCUAACUUUCUCCUUUUGGCUCCACUAAGUUUCGUAUUCAUUUCAAUUUUUUAAUUUUAUGGGUUCUCGUUCGAAUUGAAUCGUUAAAAAAUAAGCUUACAACUUCGUUGCAUUUGUAUAUACGUGAUAUACCAUAUACGAAAUAACGAGGAGAAAUAAAAAUCACAUUCACACCUUUAGACGUAGAUCGAAACAGAAAUUAGAGGCAGAAUGUAAUGAAUCAUGAAUGACUAAUCAGACUAAUGAGAAAAUAUCUCCGACUAACUAACUCAUAUAUGGAAUUAUUAGUUGCCAUUUGGUUGUACUUGUACUUUAUGAAUGGGAUAUGUUUUGUCUGUUAUCUUAUGCUUAUCUGCAACUGCAAAUUAUUAACUGCGGUCGGCGCCUCGGCGGUGCUGUAUGCUGACGGUGCACGGUGCUGUCGCCACACUACAUAAUAAGAUAGGCUCAACAAUUAGUUUUUUGUCUUAUGUAUAAUGUAAUUGUAAUAGUGAUACGUGACUGCUGGUGAUAGAAAAUUAUCGCGUACACGUUCGGUGCGUGGUGUCGGUGCCCGGGCGCGGCGCCCCAUUGAUCCGUGCGCCCCUAGGCAAUUGCCUAGUUUGCCUAGUGGAUAAUCCGGCCCUGGUUGCGAAUAAAUUAAAACGUGCCCACAUGGAAUAGUACAGACAAAAAAUGAAAGUGCAUUUAGCAGCACAAACAUUAAGUAGGAGUGUGGCAGAUGCCAUCGAAUAUUUGAACACUCGUCAUCCGGAAGAGUUUAAAGGGAGCGAAGCCACCGUUGACUUCAUUAGAAAAAUUAAUGAUCUUUUCGAUUUGUUAAACUCCAGUGGUCCCCGAGCAUCAGGGUUUAAGGCUCCCCUAAGAUUAUGUAAUGAAGCUGUUUGGAGACCGUUUAUUUUAAAUACAGUUCAUUACUUAUUAAGGUGUACGGAUGUUGGAGGCAGACCUUUACAUAUGACUCCUAAAAAAACGCCUUUCCUGGGGUUUGCAAUUACCUCAUUUUCCGUUUGUAGAAUUUAUGAUUCCUUGGUAAAAGUAGAAAAACUUAAAUACUUUUUAACCUACAAGGUAUCACAGGAUCACUUAGAAAUAUUUUUUUGCUC